GACUCAGUGGUACAAUGGCAAAGCGUUAUCUGCGAUGGUAAAGAUUCCUGGGUUCGAUCUCCGGUGGGGACG
rnacentral:tRNA from 1 species